UUUUUAUUACUCCAUUCUUCGUGGUGUUUGCAGCAACUGUGUGAAUGUGAUAUUAUGAGAACUGUAAGUUGAAGAAUCGUAUUUUUGACCAUGAAGAUUGCCUCUGGUUGGUUGAGAAGCAGGCUAAAGUGUUCUGCGGUGUUUAUGUGGUGUUAAUAAACAUCAGUGAAAGGAACUGGAGUCUCGCAUCCAAUCAAUGGGCGGCAUAAGUGGUGUAGAUGAUUUUUCUCUGGAGUUGUCAACAUUUGAGCAGUCGAGGACCAGCACGGCUGGAUCCCAGAACAACAGCAACAGUCACAUGAGGGCCUCAGCGUGAACUGGACCGGCCCAUGACCUGGAGUGGCACUGUAACUCAGAUACAAUGACCUCAUGAAGCACAGGGGAGAAGGCCUGUUCUCAGGCAAAACAAACCAUUUACAACACUAAGCAGAAACUGUUAAGAGUGUUUCAUCAGUAAACUACUUUAAAUGCAUAAAUAACUGGAGACACACUGGCUGAUUGAUGCUGAGACUUCAUGUGUGAUUUAUUUUUUUUACAGUCAAAUACCAGAGAUCAAAAGAAUAGUUUGACAUUUAAGGAAAAAUAUUAAUUUGAGUUAUGUAAUCUUCUGAAAGCAUCAUGUUCCCUCAAAUAUUUUUUUUCAAAUUUGGAAAAGGCCCUUUGUUCCCUAAGCCCAAUGUUACCAAAUAGUUGGAAACAGCCCUAUGCUCCCCCAAAGAAAAUUCCAAAUUUGGAAAAGAGCCUGUGUUCCCUCACUGUUUGAAUAUUUGUAUAUUGAUAGAAAGAUGGAUUGACAGAUGGAUAGACAAAUAGCUAGAGAUUAAUAUGAUAUAUAUGAUUGAAUUCAAACUCCAUUACCAAAAAUGAAUGUUAAUUACAAAAAGUAAAACUGGUACAACAGGAACAUUGAGAGACUCUAUAGUUUCUGUUGUUCUUUAAUUUCUUUCUAUUGACUUACAGCCUAAAGCUAUCCCAUUUACAGUGCUACUGCAUACUAUUAAUGGGGACCAAUAAACCAAACCAGACAACAUUUCCUCGAUAAUGCAGUGUCUGACUGCUCUCAAAUCUGAUUAUAUUUAACUAUUGCAAUCAUUGUACUGCCUUGAGUCCAAUGAGGUAUCACCUAAGGGUGUGGGGGUGACCUCAUGACUUCAACCAUGACCCGUUAGUCCCUGUGAGAAGA